AUGUGGGGCCUCUGCUGUCAUAAGACAGGAAAAAGCAGAUUAAGGAAAGGAGCUACAGAAGAGAUAAAAACAUUUUCCAGUGGGCAAUUGAGGAAAGUGCACGGGAUCACCAGUAGAGGCAGCCUACACAGAAUGGUGACUCCACAGACAGUCCGUCUCAUGGCCAAAACAUGGAAAGCUGGAAUCAGCACUGAUGAUGGCCAGAUGCAGGUCCACCCAUAACACUUGGGCAAGCUGCAGCACAGUCAGUGUUGAGGGAGACUCAACAGCAGAAUCACAAGCAAGAAAGACAUCACACUACAAGAAGCUAUCCAGCGAGAUGUGUGAACUCUAUAGCUGAAGGUACAUACUUCUGGGCCAGACCUAUACCAUAUACAGUCUUGACAAUUGUCUAAUAAUUCAUUCAAAUAAUUCAUCUUAUAUUUCAAGAGGAGAAAACUAAGAAGAUUCAGAAAUGUGCCUUUUGUAGGUAUUUGAAAUCAUGGUUUUGGCAUUACCUUACAGAUCUGCUUUUGACAAAAAGGCAAGCUGCAGUUUGAAAGAAGGGCUGUGUUACCCAGUUCUGAAUGUAGUAAAAGUCAUAAGCAUCACAAUACUACUUCCUUUAUGUCACCAUGAGUGGUUUUCUAAAGUGGAGAAAUGAAACCUUCUGUUUGGGGGUUUUGUGUUGUUGAUUACAAAGAACCCAGAUAAGUGAUGCUUUGCUCUGAAUGCCACUUUUUAAAACAGGCAUCACAUGCUAUGCUUCCAUGCACAUAGAAAUUAAAUCUCAUAGUGAUUAUUGAAGCUUUCCAAACUGAUCUGAGUAAACAUUCCUUGCUUCAGUGCAAAACCCCAAGCAGUAGUUGCUGUGAUUUUCUGAUUGAGGAACAGUCACCCUUUGUGCUGGAGACCCCAACAAUUCAAAUGCCCAUUCUGUUGCAACUCUGAUGCUGUCCUGAGGCACAGAUGGGUAGGACAGACUGCGAAGUAACAGUUUCUGUACUCCAAACUCAAAUUGUCCAAUUACAACACCAAAAGCCUUGCUCGACCAACUGCGAAGAGGAAAAAUGGUAACACUGGUUCACCAGAUUACACCUCUGAAGGACAUGUGGCACCAUGGGAAGGUCUUUCUGCCUUUGCUGAUAGAAGAUCUAGUGCACGGAGGCACCGGGGGAAGAGCCACACACAUCUGAUUGUUGCUUUCUCCAUCUGGGGAUACUGUCACAUCUAUGAGUAACGA
rnacentral:lncRNA from 1 species